rnacentral:rRNA from 1 species
CAGGCUAACACAUGCAAGUCGAGCGGUAACAGAUUGAUAGCUUGCUAUCAAUGCUGACGAGCGGCGGACGGGUGAGUAAUGCCUGGGAAUAUGCCCUGAUGUGGGGGAUAACUAUUGGAAACGAUAGCUAAUACCGCAUAAUCUCUUCGGAGCAAAGAGGGGGACCUUCGGGCCUCUCGCGUCAGGAUUAGCCCAGGUGGGAUUAGCUUGUUGGUGGGGUAAUGGCUCACCAAGGCAACGAUCCCUAGCUGGUCUGAGAGGAUGAUCAGCCACACUGGAACUGAGACACGGUCCAGACUCCUACGGGAGGCAGCAGUGGGGAAUAUUGCACAAUGGGGGAAACCCUGAUGCAGCCAUGCCGCGUGUAUGAAGAAGGCCUUCGGGUUGUAAAGUACUUUCAGUUGUGAGGAAGGCAGUAAAGUUAAUAGCUUUACCGUUUGACGUUAGCAACAGAAGAAGCACCGGCUAACUCCGUGCCAGCAGCCGCGGUAAUACGGAGGGUGCGAGCGUUAAUCGGA